rnacentral:misc_RNA from 1 species
AAACUACACUGUUCUACCUAUUCACACUUACAUGCAGAGGAAAAAUUUAUACUCCUGCCCACUCACUGACUCUGUACAUACACAGUUAGAGUGAGUAAGAUACACCAGAGAAGAAUGUACUCCCCAGGUUCUCAUUGGUUCUGAAAUACAACAUAUAUCUAUCAACAUAACACCACAGUACUGCAGUGCUUACAGUAGCCUUCUUCACUGUAACACAUGGAUUGUAUACAGGCUCAUCUCUUAACAACAGAUACAACUGCACAACACGAAUAUGGAAAAGUGAUUUUAAAAGGCGGCAAUUAUUUCACUGCUGAGCAUGAAACUGGUGCAAUCAAGUAAGACAAAGAUCUUCAUGCAAAGAUUCCAGAUAUUCCAGAACAUUUUUUAGGAAAUUUAUAAUUGGAUCCAUUCAGAAAUAUUUGCUAUUUUUUUAAUAUAAUAGAAACCAUGUGGCUAUGUGUAUAUAUCGUAUUUGUAUUCCUUCAUGGUUCCACAUGCGUGGAUCUAGUUUACCAUGUUGAAGAGGAAAAGAACAUUGGCACUUAUAUUGGAAAUAUUGCUUCUGACUCAAGACUGUGGAAUAUUUUAUCUUUAAAAUAUCGAAACCUUGUUACGUUCAACCAACUUGCCCAGAGACCGACAAGAGGCUCCCAACUAUUCAAUGUUACCAAAACAGGUAAAUUAUUCACCAUCCAGACUAUAGAUGCAGAAUCACUUUGUAUUUACAACACAGAAUGUUUUGACAUUAUCAAAAUUGCACUCCGUCAUGCACAAACUUUUAUCAAAGUUUUAAAAGUGAAAAUUGUGAUAAAAGAUGUAAAUGACAAUCAACCUGGAUUUCCUAUAAAGGCAAUUGACCUCAAAUUUGAUGAAACAAAUGGUAAAGGUACAAAGAAAUCUUUACCAAAUGCUGUUGACAAAGAUGUAGGUAUUUUAAAUUCUCAGAUAGUUUAUACUUUAAAGAAAUCAAACGAACCAUUUUCAUUGACAGUUUCCAAAAGAGUAGAUGGAACAUCUAAACUAGACAUAGUCUUAGGCGAGGCACUGGAUCGUGAAUCUGUGUCGGACUAUUACCUUCAAGUUAUUGCAAAAGAUGGAGGCUCCCCUCCUUUGCAAGGGGUCUUAGAUGUACACAUAACUGUUCUAGAUAUUAAUGAUAAUGCCCCUGUGUUCACUCAAGAAGUGUACAAUGUUACAAUAAAACAUACCCACCAGAGAUCCAUGCCAGUUGUGGUUUUAUCUGCCAAAGAUAGAGAUUCAAAAGAAAAUAGUAAAAUAACAUAUCAUUUUAGUUCCAAGACAUCUGAUAUCGCAAAACAUAAUUUCAAAUUAAAUGAUAAAACAGGUGAGAUAUUUUUGUUACAGAGAUUUUUCUCAGAGCAAUUAAAGAACUAUAAACUAUUCGUUGAAGCAAAAGAUGGAGGGAAUCCUCCAUUAAGUUCCAUCGCAACCGUUAUAGUAAACUUAAUCAAUCAACAGAACAAUGCUCCAGAGAUUGAUGUGAAUUUUGUCUCUGAAGUACAAAAGAAUAUCGCAGCCAUAUCAGAAGGAAUGAAGGUAGGCAGUUUCAUUGCUUAUGUCAGUGUUAUCGAUAAAGAUGUUGGCUUGAAUGGUGAGGUACACUGUACUUUAAAUAGUGAGAAAUUUCAGCUUUUGAAUCUAGGUUCAAAUGAAUAUAAAAUAAUAAUUAAAAAAGAAGUUGAUAGAGAAAAACAAGACCAUUAUAGUAUCAAAAUUUCUUGCCAAGAUAAAGGAUCACCACCGUUAUGGACGGAGAGAAAGUUCUCCAUUCAAGUAAUAGAUGUCAACGAUGUACAGCCUCAUUUCACUAAAGACACAUUUAAGUUUUUGACUUAUGAGAAUGAGGAACCGAAUUUCCCUGUUGGGUUCAUCAAUGCCACAGAUCCUGAUUUGGGUGAUGGUGGUCAGCUUUUGUUUUCUGUAAUAAAUGAUAAUCAAUAUCCAGUACCUUUUCAAAUUACAAACUAUGGCUUCUUAUCAACGACCAAAGCAUUGGACCGAGAACAAUCUAAAUCAUACGUAUUUAAAGUGUCUGUCAGUGACAACGGAACACCACCACUAAACAGUACAGCAAACAUUAUUGUUGAAGUCAUGGACGAGAAUGACAAUGCACCGUACUUCACAUUUCCUAGUGUUAACCCUUUCAGUCUAGAUGUCCAUUAUCACCCACAAAGCAAGAAUGACAUCACAGUUCUGAGAGCUUCAGAUAGAGACAGUCGGGAAAAUGCUUUCCUUACAUUUUUAAUUUUGGCAGGCAAUAAUAAACAAUUAUUUACCAUUAAUCCCCAUUCUGGAGUAUUAGCUUUCUCUCGGCCGGUUUACCAAAAUGAUGCCGGGUCAUACAAUCUUUUGUUGGUUGUGAAAGACAGUGGCAGCCCAGUGCUGUCCGCAACCACUACACUGUCCUUAACACUAACUGUCAGCAACAGAACAUCCCCAAUGUUGACAGCUGCUCACAUCCAAUCUAGUGACAUGAUAGAUAUCAACUUGGUCAUUAUCAUAGUUGUUACGGCUGUGGUGAUAUCAAUUGCUAUAGUUGUUAUAAUAACGAUAUGUAUAGUGAGAUGUAACAGAAGGAGAAAUAUGCUACAUACAGCAGCAAUGAAUCCAGCCAUGCAACCAGGACGAGAGAAAUGUCUAAUGAUAUCUCAAAGCAACAAUCCUUUUGCUAUAACACAGAACCCUGAAGAAGGGGUGCAUCACAGUACACCAUCAAUGAGAUCCAGAAGGGAUUUCUGUCCAGAGCAGGAGCUACCUGUUGAAUGGACAUCAUUAACGUCACCUGGAAAAAGACUUUCUGCUUCUCAGGCUUGUAUUCAAGAAGUUGGAAUGACAUCUGGAAGACACGAAAGAAGGUUCAUUGCAACUCCUGAUCACUAUGGCAGCAAUGUAUCUCCUCAUAAACUGCAAAAUAGCAGUCAGAAUAAAAAGGAUAUGAGUCCUUAUGAAGAAAUUCCUGCAUCAAAAUAUGGUAAAUACUAAAGUGAAAUCAUGUUGCUGAUGAGAUUGAAGAGGAAUUGUUGGACAUUCCAAUUGCAGUUUGGCACUUUACUACAAAGAUCACUGAAGGUAUAGAAAGACAGUUUCAAGAUGUGUACUGAAAUUCUUUUAAAGUAAAAACAGUAAAAAAAUUACCAAG